AUCCCAGCCCUACGGGAGGCUGAGGCAGGACGAUCCCAAAUUUCAGCCCAGCACGGGCAAAGUACCAGAGUGAGACCCUAGCAGUCAAAGGGCGAGAUUCAGCUCAACGCCAAGGCCCCGGGAAGGAGGGGCCGGGGAAGGGUGAAAUUCUAGCUAAUCUUUAAAUCUGGGUUUAAAUCUUGCCUGAUCUUCCAGCUGAAUUGAAACGAGCCCACGGAACAAAGGGAGGCGGAGAGACCUACGGUGCCGGUGACGGUGACUGACUUCCUGUGGUGCUGGCACUGAUUUCGACACAGCUGGAACGUGGCGGUGGAAAUUGUUGGCAGCUCCAUCCCUUAAAGAAACCAACCAGAAGCUGUGUGCCUGAGCCUCUGGGAAACAGGCAGGCUUGAGUGACUUUCCCAGGGUGGAGGACAUCCGCGUGGAGCUCUUCCCUCUGCCAGCACUGGCCCGCCAGGGUGGGCAGAGAGCCCCUCUGUGCCCCAGGGGGAGAGAACAAGAUAUCUGUGAGCGCCAGGAUCUGCCGAACAGCCCAGGACAGAGGAAACCAGAUCCAAGAAGCUUGUGGUGGCCCUGGUGACACACAGGUGUCUACUACUUCAGAAUAAGGAAGCCAACCACAGCCCCGGUCCCCGGUGUCCCUCUGCCCCUCCUUUGCCCUCCUGAGUCAGCCAACCUUAAAGAGUUCUGUGUCCUGUUCGGGAAAAGCGAUCAUGGAGCAGCCCGGGCACUGGCCCAGAGUUGGAAACCUGCUCUCCCUGCCUACCUGAGUGGACUCCAGGGCUGGGAGGGACUCAGCACACUGUGGGGCAUGAGACUGAGGAGCAGAGGUGGAAACCGCACAUCCUAGAUCUUUAACUGCAAGAAGUACUCACUCAGGGGAGGAAAGCGGGAAAGAGAAGCUGAGGAGCUGAUCUCAGAGCAGGAGGGAGGGGAACAGUGAGUCCCAGAGUCUGGGAGGGUAGAGAAGCAGGAGGGCAGAGGAGGGAGCACAGCAGGUUCCAAAGCUCAGCUGCCUGGGAUAAGCUCAGUAGGGUAACUGCAGUCCACAGCACUCUGCUACCAGGUGUGGUGAAAAAUAGGGCAAAUGCUUACAUUUUAAAAGUGCAUUGCAGUCAAAGACACACUGCCAUUCAUUCACUCCCUCAGAAUCCUCCCCUCCCUUUGAACGCACUCGUCCCACGUCCUCGCCGCUUUCUGCAGCAGCUCUGGAGUCCUCUUUCCUGGGGGUCUGUACCUGCGCUAUCCUGGCUGCCUCGAUGUCCCAAAUGGAUUCAAAAUGCUGACCCUUCGUGGUCAUUUUGACUUUGGGGAAGAGCCGGAAGUUGCACAGUGCCAGAUCCGGAAAAUAAGGUGGAUGAGGACCCAGCAUCGUGUUUCUACGAGCCGCCUUUCCAAUGGAUGGAGCUCAGCAGCAGCAUCCACCACAUUGUUUAUCACAUCCUAUGAAGGCAAUCAGAAGAAAGGACUGCAGAGCUGCUUCAGAAAGUGGAAACGCACUCAAAACAAUUCCAGAGGGUCCUAAAGACACGAUGAGCCUGUAAAUAGAGGCUGCGCUUCUCAGCCAUGGAGCUGCUCCUCAGCCAGCAGUGCUGAGGUCCACAGACAGCUCUGAGCUCGGACUCACACAGGGCUGGCACUGACCUCGCCCCCAGACAGGCCUGACAGAGGACCACACACCCUGGGUCUCCUUCUGAGGGCCCCUCAAGACCCUGUCAAGCCAGACCCCACAGUAACCGCCUCUCUGGCUCGCUGUCCGUGGGGCAGAGCUCUUCACGUCCGGGUGGAAGUCGGGAGCCUGCAGCUGCGGGUGCGGGGUGAGCUGAGUCAGCUCUCUGCGGACCUGCGUGGACCCCGCCUGCACCCGGGAGACAGUGGCACAGCCUGGUGCUCCUCUGCACCUGCCUGCCAGGCUGCCCACCCUGCCUGCCUGGGCUGAGGCCCCUCGCUGGCCCCUUCUCCGGCAGAGGUAGCCCGAGCCCGCCCAGCCGAGUCCUGCCCGGUUCACCUUCCCGGCUCCCCACACUGGCCCGGGGUGCUGUCCUCUCCUGCCUUCUUUGCCUGGGCUGCUGGGGGAGCGAUGGUUUCAUAUGCACCUCUUUUGGCUCCCUCUCUCUCCCCUCUUCCUCUCCGGAGCAUGAGCUGUACCCUGAGCCAUGCCUUUCCAGGCCUCGGCCCUCUUCCUAGGGCUCGUCAAUGGGCCCAGGGUGCGGGCUGCUGCAGGAGGCCGAGCGAGCGGGUGGGGAGCAGAGCUGAGGGGCUUGGGCCUGGCCCCCAUGGGCGGCCCCUCUUCGCCUCCUGCAGGCCCCGCCACUCCCUGCCUGAACCUUUCUCCUCUGCCUUCCAUUGCUUGGGGAGCUCGGAAAGGAGACUCCCCAGCCUGGGGUUUGAUGGGGUGAGUCUUGGCCUUCCUGCCCUCUCUGCGGGGCGCCCUGUUCUGGGGCAGAGCUGGGCCUUCCUGGGCACGCACUUGGGGCGGUGCAGCCUGGGCCCCUGUUCCCCACCCAGUGUCCUGAGCUCACAGGUGCUCAGGGCUGUGCCAGACACUGGGGUGUCGCUUGAGGCCCCGAGUCCUCGCCAUGAUCCCCAGCAGUGCCCCCACCGCGCACAGUAACAGACCAACCGCACCCUGGGAUCUGCAGCCAGCGCCACCUUCCCGCACACUCAGGGCUCUGUGCCGCCUCCAGGCACCUGGCACAGUGUGAACCACAGACAGCACGGGCGCUGUGCCUGUUACUCCACUGACGCCUGCUGACAGGCGGUGGGGCCAGGACACAUCCCCGCAGGCCCUGCAGCAAGGGCCCGGGUGGCAGCCAUCCGGUGCAUCUCGAUCUGUGUGGCAGCCCCACAGCGUCCCACUCGUUCCUCUGUAACAAUUCCAGAACAUCUGCACCUGAGAGUGUGCCCCCAGGCCAGCAUCACAGCCACCUCUGUCCAGGUGUUGAGAGAAGGAAAGGGAGAGAGGCCGUGAAGGAGGAGGGAAGGCAAAGUAACUGCAGUCUGCCAGAGCUGAGAAGCUGGGUGGCGGGGGCGGGCAGGACGCGGUCUGCACAGGCUCGGGGCUGUGUCUGCCCCACUCCCCGACCACCCGUGGGAUUCUCAGUAAAACAGUGGUGGGCAACAGACCUGAGGGCACUGGCUUUGUCUUAAAAGCCCAGCACGGUAGAGUUGCUGGCAAACUUCGGCCUCUCUGGGAGCCGCCUCUGCGUGCCCAGAGCCUGGGGCGCCGACCUGACCUCGCUGUGGCUCUUCUGGCUCUGACUUCCCACUCCUCCCCUCCCGGGGCCCGGAGCCAAGCAGCCCUCCUUUCUCCCCCUGGACACCAGGCGGGCUCACAGCCCUCUCCGUGGGCUCAGGGGCCAAGGCGCCCUAGCGUCGGCCCAGCAGCCAAGCAGCGGAAAACAGCGCACAUGGCGGGGUUGGCACAGGUUGCAGUUUGGGCACCUGGUCUCCAAGGGUCGCCA